UACGUAGGGGGCGAGCGUUAUCCAGAUUUACUGGGCGUAAAGCGCACGUAGGCGGCUUGCCAAGUCGGACGUGAAAUCCCUCAGCUCAACUGAGGACGUGCAUCCGAAACUGGCGAGCUUGAGUACUGAAGAGGAUCGCGGAAUUCCCGGUGUAGAGGUGAAAUUCGUAGAUAUCGGGAGGAACACCAGUGGCGAAGGCGGCGAUCUGGGCAGAUACUGACGCUGAGGUGCGAAAGCGUGGGGAUCAAACAGG
rnacentral:rRNA from 1 species